CCCUGGAUAGCCAAGAAUGGCCUUGAGUUUCUGAUCUUCCUGUCUCUAUCAAAGCCAGGGUUACACCCCUAAUACACAUUUACAAUCUCUAAUAAAAAAAUUAUAAACCUUUCAUAUAAGAUAUACAAUAGAUUGAACUAAAGAACGAAACAAAACGAAACAAAGACCAAGUCAGCCAGUGGGGACUCACACCUUUUUUUUUUUUUUUGGUUCUUUUUUUCGGAGCUGGGGACCGAACCCAGGGCCUUGCGCUUCCUAGGUAAGCGCUCUACCGCUGAGCUAAAUCCCCAGCCGGGACUCACACUUUUAAUCCUAGCACUCAAGAAGCAAAGACAGGCAGAUCUCUUGGCCAGCCUGAUCUACAGGACAGCCAGAGUGACAUGCAGAAACACUGUCUUGAGGAGAGAGAGAGAGAGAGAGAGAGAGAGAGAGAGAGAGAGAGAGAGAGAGAGAGAGAGAGAAUUUUCUAAAGGCUGGUAGUUUGAGGUUUGAGGGUCUGGACUAGCCUGUACCUUAUUCUCCAGUUGCCUGUGCCCCUGGGUCCUGAAGUGGUGGCGGCUUCAGUUAUUAACAUCUCCGGCCACCUCACCUCUUUUUUCCCCCGCAUAUGCUGCUCUGUCACCUGACAUUCCCUAGAGUUCAGUAUAGCAUGGGGCUCGUAACAUCCUGUGCUUUUGCUGUCCAGGAGGGCAGGCAGGUCACCAAGGCCAAUACCUAGCAGGUCAGCAGCUUAGCUGGCCUCAUGAGGACAGGAGUCCUCAGUUUUUAUCAGUCCAUUUACCAGUCCCGCUCACUGUUUCCCGACUGUCCCCAUGUCUAUGGGGUCAAGGACAGUGACUCUUCUGUGGGUACAUUCCCAGCACCCAUCUCGGGAUCAUAGCUCAGGAAGGUGAUAGCAGGAUAGCCUCUGGGGCAGGGGACAGAGGCGGGUUUGAAGCUGUUGUGAGCAUAGAUGACAGGGCUGAGAGCAAAGGUGGGAUGGGUCUGCACCAAGUUAGCUCUCUUCGUCCACUGCCUGUGGUGCUGCGUGUGAAACCAAGGGCCUUGUCUCUCCUGCUUGCAAGCGGGGCAAGCACUCCUCUUCCAAGCGGCAUCCCCAGCUUCCUGUCAGCCCAGUAGCCUUUACCUCCUCUCCAGCUUUCCACAUGGACAAUAGAUCCAGGGAUGGUGUUCAGAGUCACGCGCAUCCAAGGUGGAGUAAGCUACCUUAUGAUCCCUGUAUUCGUCUUGUCAUUAUAGUCACAGAGAAUCCCAUGAUGGGUGAAUGUCAGGUCAGGAUGUCGGGGGAAUGACUUGGCUGGAGGAGGUGACCCACUGAGGAACAGGAUGAAGAUGUAGAACUCUCAGCUCCUCCUGCACCAUGCCUGCCUGGAUGCUGCCAUGUUCCUGCCUUGAUGAUAAUGGACUGAACCUCUGAACCUGUAAGCCAGCCCCAAUUAAAUGUUGUCCUUUACAAGACUUGCCUUGGUCAUGGUGUCUGUUCACAGAAGUAAAACCCCAACUAAGACAUUCAGCUUCGAGGGUAGAGAGAUGGCUUAAAAGUAUCUUUUGCUCUUACAGAAGAACCAAGUUCAGCUCCCAGCACUCAUACCAGUGGCUCACCAACACCUGCAAAGCCAGUUCAACGCACACAUGUGGUGCACAUGAGCUCACACAGGCACGCAUGCAUGCACAUAAACUGAAACAAUAAAUUUUUUUCGUUAUUUGCUUUUUUUGUUUUUCAAGACAGUUUCUCUAUGUAGCCCUGGCUGUCCUGGACUCACUUUGUAGACAAGGCUAGAAUCGAAUUCACAGAGAUCCACCUGCCUCUACCUCCCUAGGGCUGGGAUUAAAGCUUUGCGCCACCACGCCUGGCCCGAUAUACUCUUAAAAAGUCAAACCUUGAAAGUUUCACCUCAGAUCUCAUGAGUGCUCUCUUCUUGUGCUCCUGGGAUAUGCCAAGAGGACUCCUGCUGGCUGGAGGUGUAUGGACCCGUGUGCCGGUGCUCUGCGUGGAUGUAUCAUGG